rnacentral:lncRNA from 1 species
AUGGUGAAUGACUAGCCUUUCUAUGGAAUCUGAAAAUAUGUUACCAUAUGCUUCCACGCCAAAGGAAAACCUGAAUGACCAUCUCAUCAAUUUCACACCCUACAAGGAGAUUCACGGAACCUGAUGGAAUAAACUGCUGUGAGAGGGAGUAUUGAAAAUACUUCUCCCCUGGACCUUGUUCCCAGGCUCCGUGUGAAGCUGAACACUCCGCAUGAUCUCCCUGCCACCAUAGCAAGCUAUGAAGUUCAUUACACAUGCAGGUAGCAGACAAUACAGCUCUGCUUCCAUUUCUGAGCACCUACGGUAGACUGCCAUUAUUCAGUGUGCCAGCCUGUUUCCAAGCCUACAAUGUAUAGUUCCUCUAGUACGUAAACUCAUUUUUUUUCUCAGAGAGCCAAGUAGAGACACAGGCAGUUUUCUUCUCAAAAUGUGCCAGAAAUUCCAAAACAAUCUCAAAGCAUUAAAGGCUAUGUGCACAAAGUACAUGCAGUUGUAGAGUCCCUCUUUUGCAGAAACUUGCACCUCAGCCCACCAGCAUUUCCUUGGUGCUUCUCCUCCUGACCCUCAUCCUCAUGCACAGACCAUUGGAUAUUACUGCACUCACGUACUUGUGUACUUCUUUCUAACAGCUGACUGAAAUCUUUCCUACAUUUUCAGGGUGAUGGGCAGAAAGUUUUUCUCAGGAAACAUUGUAGGGAAGCUGGCAGGGGACAGUUAUAUAUAUGGGGAGGGUCACAUUCUAUUAUUCAUGGGUUUCCG